GACAGAGGUGCCGAGCGUUAGGCGGAAUCACUGGGCUUAAAGCGUGUGUAGGCGGGUCGUUAAGUGUCUUGUGAAAUCCCCCGGCUCAACCGGGGAAUGGCUGGGCAUACUGGCGAUCUUGAGCAGUCUAGGGGCAGAUGGAACAAGUGGUGGAGCGGUGAAAUGCGUAGAUAUCACUUGGAACGCCGAAGGUGAAGACAGUCUGCUGGGGACUUGCUGACGCUGAGACACGAAAGCCAGGGGAGCGAACGGG
rnacentral:rRNA from 1 species